AGCCGGCAGCAGGGGGAUAAGAAGGAGACAGAAAGCAGCCUGUUUGGAGAGAUGUACAAUGGUCUCUUUCUUGAGCGGCCUUUAGCUCUUCCCUGAUUUCCUCAGCUGUUGACUUAUUUUUGCUCGAUGCUACCAAGAAGGGAAUGGGCCCCUUGCAGAUACACGUGGUGUUUUCGUCCCAGAGCCUUUGAGAGGUGGUCAUUCUGGCGGGCAGCCAGCUCUGGGAUCUUCUGUUCGCCCCCACCCUUCCUUUGGCAACGGCACCUCAGUUUUCUGCAUUUUCAUUCCAUGCGGGUGGAAUUGACUUCAUCCCUCACUCCAGAGGUGGGCUUGUGACUCAUCAAAACAUUGCAUUGGUUCCAGGAUAAUUCACGCAGGGCCAGUGAAAUGUAAUGCCACUUCUGCCGGGACUUUUAGAAAGACUGGAGUUCUAGCCACCCCCUGGCCCCCACUGGGGGAGAACCCAGCUGAAGACUGGGCCAAUGUGGAGGGAAGCGGAAUAAAAGUUGAGUGAAAUCGUGA